rnacentral:lncRNA from 1 species
CAGAACUGAAUAUUGAAGUUUACUUAAAAUGGAAAGUUCUGGAAAGCAGGAGUUACGUGUUUCCAAGGAGGAAACUCUAGGUUUUUCCCAGUGUAAGUGAAUGAUGGCAACUAAGUGGGUAAAGACUCACUAUCUGGGAGGGGGUGGCAAUGGUUCAGCCUGACCCACAGAUGACUGAAACUGAGCUGCCAUCCUGAUCCCAGCGGUAAGUCUCAGAUCUGGGCAAUCCCUGGGUGCAGAUGCUGCACCCCACAGCAUGCCGCCUCAACUGUGUGGCUUCUCAAGCCCGGGUGUCCAUGGAAAGGCUUCCAAGUCUAAGUGGGAGGGAGAUGUUAAAGAGGAGACAAUGACAGCUCUGAAAGUGGGGUGCACUCGAUUCAAACCCCCACACAAAAGGGAUUUGGCUGGACCAUAGAGAAUGGUUUGUAAAAACAAAACACCCUAAGGAACCUCCAUUUCCCCCAGAUAUAUGCAGCCUCCAAAGGCAGACACAAGCCUAAGCCCCCUGGGCCACGAUCAUUUGUCAAGGUGACUUGUAGGCAUAGCACCCCAUUCAACAAUGGAGGACAAGUUGCCAGUGAGAUCAGCCCUCCCUGAGUCAAAGGAAUGAUGCUGGGGUUCCAGAUUCUGAGUGUCAAGAGUAAGGGGCUGGGACCCCUGAGCCGCAGCACACAGAGGAGACACGCGAAUGGAGUGUACUUUCCUCCCCACCUGCGGGAAGGGGGAGGGAACCCCAUUGGGUCUGAGUAUUUCUGGAGGCCUGGCCAUUUGCCAGUAACAAAGAUCCCACCUGUGGGGGACGGCCAGGUCACCAUCGUCCUUGUGUUGGAGGAGGCAAGCAUCAAGAGGCAGGUGACCAGUCGUCUGGCUGGUGUCAGAAGCCUGGCACAGGUUCCACGCAGCCGGCCUGGGCACACAGGCUUCCUCCAUGCGGGGCUCACACGUGUACACGAGUCACACAUACAGGCGAGAUGACUCGGACAACAGGGUGACCCACAACCCAGGGAAACAUGAACUGGCCUCCACGUAUCCUAUUUCCCCUCCUCAACAAAAUCAGACACAUCAAUUUACCUCGUGAAUCAUUUGGGGAAAAAAAAAAGAUUUCAAUCAUCAUGAAAGUCAUGAAACUUGUCAUGAGAUUAAAAUAAAAAAUCAUCCAAAAGACUGCA